UGGGGAAUAUUGCACAAUGGGCGCAAGCCUGAUGCAGCCAUGCCGCGUGUGUGAAGAAGGCCUUCGGGUUGUAAAGCACUUUCAGCGGGGAGGAAGGCGAUAAGGUUAAUAACCUCAUCGAUUGACGUUACCCGCAGAAGAAGCACCGGCUAACUCCGUGCCAGCAGCCACGGUAAUACGGAGGGUGCAAGCGUUAAUCGGAAUUACUGGGCGUAAAGCGCACGCAGGCGGUCUGUCAAGUCGGAUGUGAAAUCCCCGGGCUCAACCUGGGAACUGCAUUCGAAACUGGCAGGCUAGAGUCUUGUAGAGGGGGGUAGAAUUCCAGGUGUAGCGGUGAAAUGCGUAGAGAUCUGGAGGAAUACCGGUGGCGAAGGCGGCCCCCUGGACAAAGACUGACGCUCAGGUGCGAAAGCGUGGGGAGCAAACAGG
rnacentral:rRNA from 1 species